rnacentral:piRNA from 1 species
UAAUACAGCUGAGUAACUCCAGGGGCC